rnacentral:lncRNA from 1 species
AAAAAAAAAAACAAAGGCAAAAAAAAAAAGCCUGGAGCACAGAGGAGCAGAGAUGGGAGAGCUGCUGUCCCCCGAGGUAGCACGGAGGGACGUGGGACGAUGCUGGGGGGAUGCUGAGGGCCAGGAGCACGGGGCUGCGAGCAGGGCAGACCAGAAAUAUUCAGCUCUUGGAGCUCCCUGACCCUUCCCUGCCUUAUAUCUCCUGCAGUCCCCUUGUCCCGGGGCUGGGACAUCGCAAGGCUGUGCCAAGGCAUUCUGCAGAGGGCACGGAGGGAGACUUGGCACUGGUCAGAGAGGUGGAAGCAUCCUUCCUUCCUCCUCCUCCUCCUCCUCCUCCUCUUCCUUCUCCUCCUUCUCGCAGGUGCCUGGCAAGGAGCAGAUGCCGGGGGAGCUGGGGACAGUGGGACAGGGACCGGGGGCGCAGGACGGGAGCACGGGCACCGUCCCAGGGCCACCCCUCGAGGCGGCGACGAAGCGAAGCGCAGCGGGAAAUAAAUCCAUCGCUGGCAGCAAGGGGAGGAAGAGGAACGGGGGGAAGGAGGGACACCCCCCGGAGGUGGGCUGCAGCGCGCCAGACCCCAGGUGGGCAGCAGGGACUCCAAGGAGGAAUCGAAGUGGUGCAGGCACGGCCGAGGUUUUCCCUUCCAGGGCUGGGACCACCGGAGAUCUCCCUCCGUGUGGUCAGCGGGUCCUUGCUGGUGCUGCCUCCGUUGAACUCCCCAGAAAAAAAUAAGUAAAAUAUUUUUGUUGUGCCAGGGUGAGCCUUUGCACCCUGCAUUCAUAAGUGUGUCUGCAAAUUGUCCCUUUGGAAGCACAGAAUAAGAGCAAUGAACACGACUGCGAUGUUGGCACAAACUCACAGAUCCAGGAGGUUUCAAGGAGAAGUGACCCACCGUGGCACCCGGCAUCUCCCCGGCAUGUCAGCCCCAGGACAACAGUAAUUCCUCCUGUGCCUCCAAGCCUGGAGAAAAAACCCACCAUGAUUCAUAGCGGGGUUCGCCGGCUUCUUUGUGUCUGUGGGGGCUGCGAGGGCAGAUUGUGUGCACGGGGUUCAUCCCAGCCAGGCAGAGGGGUGCGCGAGGGCAGCUCCGAGCAAUUAGCUCUAAGCCCAAUCGAGCUGGUGUUUUGUACACCUUCAGCUUGUUAACACAGAUCCAAGGCUUGCUUGGGACCACCGUACCUGCCUCAUUGCUGCCCUGCUCCUGCCUCCUUGUAAAAGCUUGCUGCCUCCACCGCUUUGUCCUCUGCCUCUGGCUUUGCCCUCCCCGGGGCAGGGACCGGGCCAUCCGUUCUCCUCCCACGUGGCGUGCGAUCCGAAUCACCGCAUGAAUUUUUCCUGUACCUACUGCUCUAAUGUCUGGUGUGCCUCUGCAGAUGAAAGGUAUUAUAUGAGGAUAAAUUCUUAAUCAUCACAAUAAUCAAUCAUUCUUUACCUAUAAUUUAGUUGAAAUUAAUCCAGCAGACAAGCAGAGGGCCAAAUGGUAAUCUGUGUCCUGGAUAUCUUUAUUGACUUGAAAGGAGA